rnacentral:rRNA from 1 species
AGUGAACGCUGGCGGCGUGCCUAAUACAUGCAAGUCGAACGGAGAUUAAGUAGCUUGCUAUUUAAUCUUAGUGGCGCACGGGUGAGUAAUAUAUAGCUAACUUGCCCAUUACUAAGGGACAACAGUUGGAAACGACUGCUAAUACCUUAUACUCCGUAUCUAUAUAAGUAGAUACGGGAAAGUUUUUCGGUAAUGGAUAGGGCUAUAUCGUAUCAGCUAGUUGGUAAGGUAACGGCUUACCAAGGCUAUGACGCGUAACUGGUCUGAGAGGAUGAUCAGUCACACUGGAACUGAGACACGGUCCAGACUCCUACGGGAGGCAGCAGUAGGGAAUAUUGCUCAAUGGGGGAAACCCUGAAGCAGCAACGCCGCGUGGAGGAUGACACUUUUCGGAGCGUAAACUCCUUUUCUUGGGAAAGAAUUAUGACGGUACCCAAGGAAUAAGCACCGGCUAACUCCGUG